UUAAGCGACUAAGCGUACACGGUGGAUGCCCUGGCAGUCAGAGGCGAUGAAGGACGUGCUAAUCUGCGAAAAGCGUCGGUAAGGUGAUAUGAACCGUUAUAACCGGCGAUGUCCGAAUGGGGAAACCCAGUGCAAUUCGUUGCACUAUCGUUAACUGAAUACAUAGGUUAACGAGGCGAACCGGGGGAACUGAAACAUCUAAGUACCCCGAGGAAAAGAAAUCAACCGAGAUUCCCCCAGUAGCGGCGAGCGAACGGGGAGCAGCCCAGAGUCUGAAUCAGCUUGUGUGUUAGUGGAACGGUCUGGAAAGUCCGACGGUACAGGGUGAUAGUCCCGUACACCAAAAUGCACAGGCUGUGAACUCGAAGAGUAGGGCGGGACACGUGGUAUCCUGUCUGAAUAUGGGGGGACCAUCCUCCAAGGCUAAAUACUCCUGACUGACCGAUAGUGAACCAGUACCGUGAGGGAAAGGCGAAAAGAACCCCGGCGAGGGGAGUGAAAAAGAACCUGAAACCGUGUACGUACAAGCAGUGGGAGCACCUUCGGGUGUGACUGCGUACCUUUUGUAUAAUGGGUCAGCGACUUAUAUUCUGUAGCAAGGUUAACCGGAUAGGGGAGCCGCAGGGAAACCGAGUCUUAACUGGGCGUUAAGUUGCAGGGUAUAGACCCGAAACCCGGUGAUCUAGCCAUGGGCAGGUUGAAGGUUGGGUAACACUAACUGGAGGACCGAACCGACUAAUGUUGAAAAAUUAGCGGAUGACUUGUGGCUGGGGGUGAAAGGCCAAUCAAACCGGGAGAUAGCUGGUUCUCCCCGAAAGCUAUUUAGGUAGCGCCUCGUGAACUCAUCUUCGGGGGUAGAGCACUGUUUCGGCUAGGGGGUCAUCCCGACUUACCAACCCGAUGCAAACUACGAAUACCGAAGAAUGUUAUCACGGGAGACACACGGCGGGUGCUAACGUCCGUCGUGAAGAGGGAAACAACCCAGACCGCCAGCUAAGGUCCCAAAGUCAUGGUUAAGUGGGAAACGAUGUGGGAAGGCACAGACAGCCAGGAUGUUGGCUUAGAAGCAGCCAUCAUUUAAAGAAAGCGUAAUAGCUCACUGGUCGAGUCGGCCUGCGCGGAAGAUGUAACGGGGCUAAACCAUGCACCGAAGCUGCGGCAGCGACACUAUGUGUUGUUGGGUAGGGGAGCGUUCUGUAAGCCUGCGAAGGUGACCUGUGAGGGUUGCUGGAGGUAUCAGAAGUGCGAAUGCUGACAUAAGUAACGAUAAAGCGGGUGAAAAGCCCGCUCGCCGGAAGACCAAGGGUUCCUGUCCAACGUUAAUCGGGGCAGGGUGAGUCGACCCCUAAGGCGAGGCCGAAAGGCGUAGUCGAUGGGAAACAGGUUAAUAUUCCUGUACUUGGUGUUACUGCGAAGGGGGGACGGAGAAGGCUAUGUUAGCCGGGCGACGGUUGUCCCGGUUUAAGCAUGUAGGCUGGUUGUCCAGGCAAAUCCGGAUAAUCAAGGCUGAGGUGUGAUGACGAGGCACUACGGUGCUGAAGUAACAAAUGCCCUGCUUCCAGGAAAAGCCUCUAAGCAUCAGGUAACAUUAAAUCGUACCCCAAACCGACACAGGUGGUCAGGUAGAGAAUACCAAGGCGCUUGAGAGAACUCGGGUGAAGGAACUAGGCAAAAUGGUGCCGUAACUUCGGGAGAAGGCACGCUGGUGUGUAGGUGAAGUCCCUGCGGAUGGAGCUGAGACCAGUCGAAGAUACCAGCUGGCUGCAACUGUUUAUUAAAAACACAGCACUGUGCAAACACGAAAGUGGACGUAUACGGUGUGACGCCUGCCCGGUGCCGGAAGGUUAAUUGAUGGGGUUAUCCGUAAGGAGAAGCUCUUGAUCGAAGCCCCGGUAAACGGCGGCCGUAACUAUAACGGUCCUAAGGUAGCGAAAUUCCUUGUCGGGUAAGUUCCGACCUGCACGAAUGGCGUAAUGAUGGCCAGGCUGUCUCCACCCGAGACUCAGUGAAAUUGAACUCGCUGUGAAGAUGCAGUGUACCCGCGGCAAGACGGAAAGACCCCGUGAACCUUUACUAUAGCUUGACACUGAACAUUGAGCCUUGAUGUGUAGGAUAGGUGGGAGGCUUUGAAGCGUGGACGCCAGUCUGCGUGGAGCCAACCUUGAAAUACCACCCUUUAAUGUUUGAUGUUCUAACGUUGGCCCCUGACCGGGGUUGCGGACAGUGUCUGGUGGGUAGUUUGACUGGGGCGGUCUCCUCCCAAAGCGUAACGGAGGAGCACGAAGGUUAGCUAAUCCUGGUCGGACAUCAGGAGGUUAGUGCAAUGGCAUAAGCUAGCUUGACUGCGAGCGUGACGGCGCGAGCAGGUGCGAAAGCAGGUCAUAGUGAUCCGGUGGUUCUGAAUGGAAGGGCCAUCGCUCAACGGAUAAAAGGUACUCCGGGGAUAACAGGCUGAUACCGCCCAAGAGUUCAUAUCGACGGCGGUGUUUGGCACCUCGAUGUCGGCUCAUCACAUCCUGGGGCUGAAGUAGGUCCCAAGGGUAUGGCUGUUCGCCAUUUAAAGUGGUACGCGAGCUGGGUUUAGAACGUCGUGAGACAGUUCGGUCCCUAUCUGCCGUGGGCGCUGGAGAAUUGAGGGGGGCUGCUCCUAGUACGAGAGGACCGGAGUGGACGCAUCACUGGUGUUCGGGUUGUCAUGCCAAUGGCACUGCCCGGUAGCUAAAUGCGGAAGAGAUAAGUGCUGAAAGCAUCUAAGCACGAAACUUGCCCCGAGAUGAGUUCUCCCUGAGACUUUAAGUCUCCUGAAGGAACGUUGAAGACGACGACGUUGAUAGGCCGGGUGUGUAAGCGCAGCGAUGCGUUGAGCUAACCGGUACUAAUGAACCGUGAGGCUUAACCU
rnacentral:rRNA from 1 species